AGCGAACGCUGGCGGCAGGCCUAACACAUGCAAGUCGAACGAAGUCUUCGGACUUAGUGGCGGACGGGUGAGUAACACGUGGGAACGUGCCUUUAGGUUCGGAAUAACUCAGGGAAACUUGUGCUAAUACCGAAUGUGCCCUUCGGGGGAAAGAUUUAUCGCCUUUAGAGCGGCCCGCGUCUGAUUAUCUAGUUGGUGAGGUAAAGGCUCACCAAGGCGACGCUCAGUAGCUGGUCUGAGAGGAUGAUCAGCCAAAUUGGGACUGAGACACGGCCCAAACUCCUACGGGAGGCAGCAGUGGGGAAUCUUGCGCAAUGGGCGAAAGCCUGACGCAGCCAUGCCGCGUGAAUGAUGAAGGUCUUAGGAUUGUAAAAUUCUUUCACCGGGGACGAUAAUGACGGUACCCGGAGAAGAAGCCCCGGCUAACUUCGUGCCAGCAGCCGCCGUAAUAC
rnacentral:rRNA from 1 species